GACGAACGGCUGGCGGCGUGCCUAACACAUGCAAGUCGAGCGGAGUCGAUCGACGGAAGCCUUCGGGCGGUAAGAUGGUUGACUUAGCGGCGGAUGGGUGAGUAACGCGUGGGCAACCUGCCUCGAAGACCGGGAUAACAGCCCGAAAGGGCUGCUAAUACCGGAUGUGGUCAAGGAUCCGCAUGGAUUUUGAUUAAAGGGGAAACCCGUUUCGAGAUGGGCCCGCGUCCUAUCAGCUAGUUGGUGAGGUAAAAGCUCACCAAGGCGACGACGGGUAGCCGGCCUGAGAGGGUGACCGGCCACACUGGAACUGAGACACGGUCCAGACUCCUACGGGGGGCAGCAGUGGGGAAUCUUCCACAAUGGGCGAAAGCCUGAUGGAGCGACGCCGCGUGAGCGAAGAAGGCCUUCGGGUUGUAAAGCUCUGUCUGGAGGGACGAAGGAAGUGACGGUACCUCCGGAGGAAGCCACGGCUAACUACGUG
rnacentral:rRNA from 1 species